rnacentral:tRNA from 1 species
GCCGAAGUGGUGAAAUUGGUAGACACGCUACCUUGAGGGGGUAGUGGGCGAAUGCCCGUGCGAGUUCGAGUCUCGCCUUCGGCA